CAUUACAGUUCCUGCUUAUUGUCAGCUUUUGGAAAAAAAAAAAAAUUACAUUUAGGAUAAAAAAUAAAAAUGAUGGGUAGUGUGAAGUAAAAUAAAAAGCACUAUGUCAGAAUUUGCUGGCUGGAAUCUCUCUUGACCUCGUCAAGUUUCCAUGCAUAUGUCUGUUUAUAUAAUAUAAAACACGAAAUAGAAAUAUAUGUGUACCAAAAAUAAGCCAAAAAAUCAUUGAUAGGCUCAUGUGGGAGACAUAUAUAUUUAUGCAUAUAUACAACUUCUUAGUGUAGAAAUACUUGCUAGGUUAGGAGAUUUCAAUUGUGUUAAUUGCAGUGGUCCUGCAAUACAUCAACAUCAUUAUUGCUCUGAAAAUUAUCCCCUGGCACAAUGAGGGUCAAUGUUUGGUAUUGAUAUAUUCCAUUUUUACUUUCUUAGGUCACUUUUAUUUCAGUCUGGAAGUACAGUCAAAACUUAGCCAAGGAUUGUUAUAUACCACAGAAGAAGUGUGAUACAGAGUGGAAAAGGCAGUAA
rnacentral:lncRNA from 1 species